UAGAGGUGCUGUGGUGUUUGGAGGAGGGACUCCUUCAGUUAGAGAAGUGAGGCGUCACAAGUUCCUGGUUUCCAGUGAAGAAGAAGAGAGGCAGCAGUGAACCAUCAGAGCCUCAUCAUGAAAGUCCGUCACACUCUGAUCUGCUUCUUCUUCCUUUGUUUGAGGACCAGAGGAAACUCAGAGGGCACAAACAUGGAGGACGUCCACUACGAGAACUGUACUCCAGGUUCUACACGUGAAGACUCGAUCUACCAAAGCCUCGAUCCAGCCGGCAGGGACCAGGACCAGACCUACUCUACACUCACACACCACACAUGAGACUCUCUGGAUUCACACCUGGGUUUGUUUCAGUGCAUCAAAGACACAGUUUGUACACAGAAUGGAUGAAUCUGCUGUGAAUUCAUCCUCAGUCUGUACAGUUUCCUGUCUGUGGUGCUGACUGUGUCUCUUGGAAUUUGGAUGCUUAUCCUUUUUCAUUUAGUUUAGGAAGUUAUGAUGUUUUAUUUUUGGUUUGAUUCGUGUACUGUCUUAUUUUCUUUGUUAUGUUAGCCUUCACUGACCCUAAAGAGAAAUUCAGCUCCAUGAACUUUAUCACUUUUAAAAUGAAUAAAUUUGAAAUCAUAUUCAGUAAAAAUGACACACGUGUUCUUUCAAUACAAGCAAAACCAGCACUUAUGACAUGUGUCACAGUCAGCAGAUGCAGACUGGAACUUUUUAAGGCAGCAGAAGAAAAGGACCCGUGAGGCUCAAUAACAGAGAUUGAAUUAGAAAAGUACAGAAAUUUUGCACCAAAUUUUUUUUUUCUGUAUGGAUACCUACUGAAUGUUUUCAGUCAGUACUAAAAAGAUAUUGUGUUUUGGUACCCAGCCCUACUUGCAUUUCAUUUCAAUUGCAGUUUUCAAAACCUGUUCCAGUUCCUCAGACACCAUCAGAGACUUUUUUGAAAGACCUCUACUAUCAGGUCUGCAAGUAUCAAGUGUUUUAAAUUUUGACUGUUUAUUAUGUACUUAUUUGUUUUUGGUUGGAUUAAGUUUGAUAUUAAUUAGAUCUAGCAAAUUAUAACAAAACGUCAUAGAAUGUAAAUUUUACACCAAUCAGCCCUGUUAUGUUUAUGGCCUCAUUUGUUGGAGCUUAAUUUUUUAGACGACAUUCUGGCUAAAACAGCUGCCAACAAUUUACUGUUAAUUUGAACUUUUGAAUAAAAAGACAUGUUUUGUAUUAUACAGCUGUCAAUGGAAAAUUGUACUUAGUAGUCAGUAUAAUCUUUUAAUAAUAUAAGUUUGCAUAUAAGGUAGAAUACUGCAUGUUGACUUAGGCUGUUGUUCACUACAAGACUUUGUGUACAUUCCAGAGUGCUCUGGCAUUCACACCCACAUCCUGGGAGCAUGGGAGAGGUCGUACCUUCUCUUAUUUUUUUGUGGCAGGAUAAACGUAUCUAUGUCUCUUUUAGGCUAAGUGCCUUUUGUUUAGAUGAACUGCUGGACUUCCAGACCAGCAGGUUUAGGGAAGUCUUUAUGGGGUCACACUCUGACACACACACGCACACACACAUAUAAACAUCCACAUUCCAAUGUAAGGAACAAACACCCACUGAUGUCUAUAAAUAAAGACCAGGGCAGUGGCAGAGCGCAAGUCCCUGAGCGCUCACUCUCGUGCGGGCGCUCUGUGGCUGCCCUUGCUGCAAGUAAAAACUGUGUGUUUCUCCUCUCUGAUUCUCAG
ensembl:lncRNA